rnacentral:tRNA from 1 species
UCCCUGGUGGCCCAGUGGUUAAGACUCCAUGCUCCCAAUGCGGGGGGCCCAGGUUCAGUCCCUGGUCAGGGAA